rfam:Puniceibacterium sp. IMCC21224 IMCC21224_11, whole genome shotgun sequence.
GCCCGCGUGGUGGAAUGGUAGACACAGGAGACUUAAAAUCUCCAGGCGCAAGCCGUACCGGUUCGAAUCCGGUCGCGGGUA